rnacentral:lncRNA from 1 species
AGUCGUCCCCAAGAUAGCGGAGACGGCUCUCUCAGAGUUUUCCAGAGAAUGAUUUUUUCGGUGAUAAGGCAGCGGAGACGUCCCCUGAAAGAGCGGAGUCGACUCUCUCAGGGAAUUCCAGAAGACAUGUUUUUCUGAGAUAAAGAAGCGGAGUCGUCCCCGAGGGAGAGGAGUCGUCCUUAUGCAGAAAGUGCAAACAAGCCGAGACGUCCCCGUAAAGCGCCGAGUCGACCCCAAACAACGUAAAAAGUAAAAUCUUGUAGCCGAGACGUCUCUCGUUGAAGCGGAGACGUCUCCGGAGCGCCUGGGACGCGACUGACAACUUUUUGCAGGUUGUUUUGAAUUUCAAAUCUCUCUAACUUUAUCUCUAACGGCUAUAUUUGCUUUUUGGUCUAUAAAAGGGACCACGUAAGUGCUUCUCAACAACUCUUCACAAAUCCAAAAGCUAGAUCAUUUAAGAGAGAAGCAAGAGAGAGAAGUUCAAGGAAGUGAGUGCAUUCAAGUGAAGAAGUCAAGUACUUUCAAGCUUCCCAAGCGAUUUCAAGCUCAACCACUCUCGCGCGCUCGGGAUUCAAAGCUCACACUCAAACC